rnacentral:tRNA from 1 species
UCCCUGGUGGCUCAGGCUGUAGAGAAUCCACCUGCAGUUUGGAAGACCUGGGUUCGAUCCCUGGCUUGGGAA